rnacentral:hammerhead_ribozyme from 1 species
ACACUGCUGAAGAGUCCCACAACAGGACGAAACGGCAGUCCAAUGC